AUAGACUCCACUUCUUGAUGGGAGGAGCUGCAAAGUCUACUUUGCAAUCAACCAGACUUGGGUUCAUCUACUCCCAGCUGGCUCUUGAAGCAAUGUAGUCCAGGCUUCUUCACAAAAUAGCAGCAGUUGAGAGAGAGAGUGCGUGAAAAAGGAACUCAAGGCUUCUCGUGGCUUCAGCUCGGAUUUGGCACACCGUUCCUUCCUGCACAUUCUAUUGGUCAAUGCGGUACAUAAAGCCAAGUCUUACGUGAAGACACAACCAAAGGGGAUGGACGCAAGGGGCAUGAAAAAUCGUAGCCACAGUACUGCCGACUGUGUGAGGUUAGAUGUGACUCCACGAUAGAAGAAUCCUUCUUUUUCCUACUGCUUGCUCAAGAGCUGAGUGGCUAGGGGUGGACAUAUGACCCAGUUUGGGCCAACAGGACUUAAACUGAAGUCAUUCAUUGAUAGAUCAGCCCCAGAGGGAAAACCAAAGGAGAAUUCCAUCAGAACACAGUCAUCCUUUUCAUCUGCCUGAAGUGCGGUCAGCAAGGGUCUAAUCAGAGUCAGCCCCAGGAGUGAGCCCCGGAUCUCUCGCCGGCUCUUUGCAACAGGCCACACUGAUCUGUCUGCAGCCCACUGAAUUGGGAAACGAAAGAGCAUGGUGUGGAUGCUACGUCUGCAAUUCUGUUCCUGUAGCUUCUUUAUUUAAAUAAAAAGUAAGCGCUCUCAAUACAACUCAUGCCAUCAGAACCUGAUUUUUCUUCCACUAUUGCAUUCUCUUUUACA